UGGGGAUUAUUGCACAAUGGGCGCAAGCCUGAUGCAGCCAUGCCGCGUGUAUGAAGAAGGCCUUCGGGGUGUAAAGUACUUUCAGCGGGGAGGAAGGGAGUAAAGUUAAUACCUUUGCUCAUUAACGUUACCCGCAGAAGAAGCACCGGCUAACUCCGUGCCAGCAGCCGCGGUAGUACGGAGGGUGCAAGCGUUAAUCGGAAUUACUGGGCGUAAAGCGCACGCAGGCGGUUUGUUAAGUCAGAUGUGAAAUCCCCGGGCUCAACCUGGGAACUGCAUCUGAUACUGGCAAGCUUGAGUCUCGUAGAGGGGGGUAGAAUUCCAGGUGUAGCGGUGAAAUGCGUAGAGAUCUGGAGGAAUACCGGUGGCGAAGGCGGCCCCCUAGACGAAGACUGACGCUCAGGUGCGAAAGCGUGGGGAGCAAACAGG
rnacentral:rRNA from 1 species